CCUACGGGGUGCAGCAGUGAGGAAUAUUGGUCAAUGGGCGGAAGCCUGAACCAACCAAGUCGCGUGAGGGAAUAAGGCCCUACGGGUCGUAAACCUCUUUUGCCGGGGAGCAAGGGCGGGGACGUGUCCCGGCCCGGAGAGUACCCGGAGAAAAAGCAUCGGCUAACUCCGUGCCAGCAGCCGCGGUAAUACGGAGGAUGCGAGCGUUCUCCGGAUUUAUUGGGUUUAAAGGGUGCGUAGGCGGGCUUUUAAGUCAGCGGUAAAAAUUCGGGGCUCAACCCCGUCCGGCCGUUGAAACUGGGGGCCUUGAGUGGGCGAGAAGAAGGCGGAAUGCGUGGUGUAGCGGUGAAAUGCAUAGAUAUCACGCAGAACCCCGAUUGCGAAGGCGGCCGCCUGGAACAAAACUGACGCUGAGGUGCGAAAGCGUGGGUAGCAAACAGGAUUAGAUACCCGGGUAGUC
rnacentral:rRNA from 1 species